rnacentral:misc_RNA from 1 species
ACCCCUUGUGGAGGAGGACGCCGAAGGUGGGGCUAAUGACUGGGGUGAAGUCGUAACAAGGUAGCCGUACCGGAAGGUGCGGCUGGAUCACCUCCUAACAGGGAGACAACAAAAUGUUUAAUAUUAUUAUUUUGUCACCUUAGGUCGAUCGGUAUCUCACAUUCUUAAAUCAUUAAGAAUUUCAUUUCCUAAGUUUUUCUAGGUCACACCCAUUAUUUUUCCUGGGCCAUUAGCUCAGGUGGUUAGAGCGCACCCCUGAUAAGGGUGAGGUCCCUGGUUCAAGUCCAGGAUGGCCCAUAUCUCUAUGUUGGGGGUAUAGCUCAGUUGGUAGAGCGCCUGCUUUGCAAGCAGGAUGUCAGCGGUUCGAGUCCGCUUACCUCCACUGAUUACCACCUCUUCCAUAAUCUGGAGAAAGGAAAUGUUUUGAGUUGUGAUCAAAUUCUGAACGAAUCUAGCUUCCUAAUGAAAUAAUUAAGAUGCUGGACUCAUUGAAUUAAUUUCAUUGUUUUCAGAGAACCUUGACAACUGCAUAGAUUAUUUUUAAAGACAAUAAGCAUCUUGAAUGAUGCAGAUUUAUUAUUUGUGCGAAUGCAUUAAUAACAAUUCUAUUAAGCUGAUGCUUCAAUUUUGAAGUUAUUGGUCAAGCUACAAAGGGCUCACGGAGGAUACCUAGGCACACAGAGGCGA